UACAGAGGGUGCGAGCGUUAAUCGGAAUUAUUGGGCGUAAAGGGCGCGUAGGCGGUUAUUUAAGUUGGAUGUGAAAUCCCUGGGCUUAACCUAGGAACUGCAUCCAAGACUGUAUGACUAGAGUGCAGUAGAGGAUAGUGGAAUUUCCGGUGUAGCGGUGAAAUGCGUAGAUAUCGGAAGGAACACCAGUGGCGAAGGCGGCUAUCUGGACUGACACUGACGCUGAGGCGCGAAAGCGUGGGUAGCAAACAGG
rnacentral:rRNA from 1 species